UCACCCUGUGAACAGAGUUUCUUGUUAGUAAACCUUUACCUCUUCCCCAAUCUGCUAAAAUCCCUACAUGAACAUUCACUUCCCACUUAGUCUAUCACUGCGAUCAGCCUCCCCACCCACCCUCGUCUGCUCCUCCCUGCCCCGCCCCCAGACCAGAGUGGCUGUUGGUCAACCCCUGACAUCUUGCUCCCAGCCAUGACCCUGCUGCCACUGGGUCACACACAGCCUGGUCCCAGGGACUGGAUUCCAGCAGACUCUGAAGGUAUGGCCACACCUGAAGACAGUUGGAAGCCACCCAAGCAGUGAACAGAGCUAAGACUCGGAGGGGCUCACAGGUACCCUGGGUUCCCCAGACCUAUACCCCAUGUCCAUGGCUUUGCCUUGCUUGCCUGGGCUGUCUUCUGCCUUAUGAGCCAGGAGUACUAGAUGGCCAGCCAAGCAGGAAUUCAAACCAGAACCACAUGGCUGGAUCUAGAAUCCACACAGUACAACACAGCCACCAAACAUCUUCUGAAGGACCCUGUGACCCGCCACCUAGCCCUCCCUCUUCCACUAGGGUCUCUAACAAGACCUGGAGCUCACCGAUGUAUCUAAGCAAGACCUGGCGAUCUUUGCCUGCCUGCUUCCCUUAUUCUGAGGUUACAGGCAUGUGUCCCCAUGAGUGUCCUCUUACAUAUAUAGUGGGGAUCCAGUUCAGGUCUUCAAGCCUGACCAACAAGCUCUUCCCUGCCAGAGUCAUCUGCCCGGGCCCAAAGCAAGCGCUUUCUCAAACUGCAGUGGAACAGUAGAGAAAGACGAAGAGGAACAGCAUAGGGCCAGCUAGAGGGGUGAGAAUGGCUACACUGUAUGUCAGCCUUGGAACUUGGGGUUGAAGCAGACAUCAGACUCUUUGAGCACAGAGAGAAUCAGAGGGAAAAGACUCAAGGUCGCCGGAGUGCUGUUUGCUUUUGCCUUUAAAUAUGGGCUCCCCUCAUGCCCACUGUGCUCUCGCAACGCUAUCCCGGGACAACUGCUAGGACUGCACAGCACUACACAAGCAGAUGGCGUAUACAUAGGGUAUAAGGCAACUUAGACAGCCGUUUUGUGAUCAGCACCAGACAGAAGGAAACAGAAGGAUUUCUUCCUUGGAAACUGAAAACGAAAGCCAGCACCUAAGAAUCCUAGGUAUGGGUGCCCCACAGCCACAUCUCCCUGGUUUCACCUGAGCUAAGAACACUGACAAAUGUUUGAAGCCCAGUCUAAAAUUAGACUUAUCUGUAUUCUACACCGAAAUGAGCGAUUCGAAAUCCUACUGUAAAUAUUAGUCACGUGACUUUCUGAUGUUUGCUGUCCUUCCACUGUAGGGUGGCGAAGCUGACUAAGCCUGUGGCAUAUGCCAGUAAUAUCAGCAUAGGGAGAGACUGAGAUAGAAGGGUUACAAGUUCAAGACCAAACUAAGCUAGAAAUGCUGACUCAAAAUAGAUGGGGCAGGCAGUAAGGCUGCAGGGAUGACUUAGCAGUUAAGGCAGUGACUCCUAGAGGAGCAGUAGCACCCAUAGGUGUCUCUAACUUCAGCUCCUGGAGAUCAAAUGCCCUUUCCCUGCCCUCGGUGGGCACCCCUACAAAGGAGGCAUAUACUCCACUCAGCUGCAUAAAUAAAAAAUAAAUGUUUGAGAACGGUAAA